AGCUGGGCGUCUUCUUUGAAAAUCUGCCCAUUGGAAGGUCCGGGUAUUUAAUUAGGACCUCUUCAUCCCAAGCAGCAGGGCGAGAAUGUCCCAAAAUAACUAACCCAGAGAGUACACUCUAGCCUUCCUAGCCAAGUGUCCUGAGGCUACGUUAACAGGCAGAACUAAAUCUAGUAAAGUGCAGGGAUUAUGAACAAACAGUUAAAGCAACAAGAUCCCUCACCUACACCCCCAUUUCUGAGGAGGACGCCCCUUUCCCUGGAGAAAAGAUUUGUCCUCCUAAAGAGGGGAUGUCCUGAAGAGAAGACGGCAAAUCAUUCCUUCUGAAGGACUCUGAUGUCUCAGCUUGCUGGGCUUUUGCUUUUCUCUCUCUUUUUUUUUUUUUAACCUGUUUUGGUUUACCCCUACUGUAACUCCUGAAAUGUGAAACCAAGAUAAAAGUUACUGUUGGGUUUCCUUGUUCAAAGAAGAGAUUCUGUUCAUCUGUAGACAGUUAAUGCAUCCUCUUGACUCCUCGGGAUGUCUUUUCUCAAGGCUUACUGUUACUCAUUUCAACACCUGAUUUUAUUUUAACUGUAAAGAACUCAACAGUUAUCUUAGUUGAGAUUUUGUUUUGUUUCUGACAAAUGAAAACAAAUGAAUUGCUUUGUUUUUCACAAAUGAAUUAUCACAUCAAAUGCAAUGAAGAUCCCAAGCUCUGGCAUGAGACUUGAUUCAAAUCCUGGUUCUAGGGCCUAGGUCAAGUGUUCAGAUCAAGGGAAACUACUCUAAGAGGCUACAUGUGAGGAACAACAACCAAGGAGCUUCAACUGCAUCUGGGUUUCAGGGUAAUGCUGUUGAUGAUUAGAUUCUGGGCUUUAGGCUAAUGCUGUUAUAUGAUGAGUCUUUUGAGAUACUUAAGAGGGAGUGAGUUUAUUUUGCAUGAUGGAAGGACAUGAAUCAUUGAGGAUCAAAGAGCAGACUGUCAUAGUCAGCUUACACUGCUCUUUGUUAUUCAUGCUGUUGGUUAGCACCCUCCCACAUGGAAUCAAAGCUGACUCAUGGCCAAUAGAACACUGGAUUUUGAUUCUGUAUGGCUUCUUAGGCUAAACCAUAAAAAGCAUUGCAAAUUUUUCUUAAUUUCUUGGAUCACUCUCUAUGGUGGAAGCUAGCUGCCAUGUCAUGAGGACACAUAAGGAAGCCCAUCCCAAGGCCCACAUGGACAGGGACCAAUAGCUAACAUUAACUUGCUAGCUGAUAUGGUUUGGGGGCUUGUCCCCACCCAAAUCUCAUCUUGAAUUCCCAAGUGUUGUGGGAGGGACCCAGUGGGAGGUAAUUGAACCACAGGGGCAAGUCUUUCCCCCUAAGGUGACUCUUGUUAUGUUUUAGCAAAGAGACUGGCAGCAUUUCGCCCCUGUGCUAGAGAUGUGUGGUACUUUGAACUUGAAAGAGAUGAUUUAGGGUAUUUGGUGGAAGAAAUUUCUAAGCAGCAAAGCAUUCAAGAGAUGACUUGGGUGCUAUUAAAGGUAUUCAAUUUUAUAAGGGAAGCAGAGCAUAAAAGUUUGGAAAAUUUGCAGCCUGACAAUGCAGUAGAAAAGAAAAUCCUAUCUUCUGAGGGGAAGUUCAACUAGCUGCAGAAAUGUGCAUAAGUAACUAGGAGCCUAAUGUUAAUCUCCAAGACAAUGGAGAAAAUGUCUCUGGGACAUGUCAGAGGUCUUCACAGCAGCUCUUCCCAUCACAGGCCUAGAGGACUAGGAGGAAAAUGUGGUUUUGUGGGCCAGGCCCAGGGUCCCCAUGCUGUGUGCAGCCUAGGGACUUGGUGCCUUGCAUCUCAGCCACCCCAGCCAUGGCUGAAAGGGGACAACAUAGAGCUUGGGUUGUGGCUUCAGAGGGUGCAAGCCCCAAGUCUUGGCAGCUUCCACAUGGUGUUGAGCCUACGAGCACACAGAAGUCAAGAACUGAGAUUUGGGAACCUCCACCUAGAUUUCAGAGGCUGUAUGGGAAUGCCUGGAUCCCCAGGCAGAAAUUUGCUGCAGGGGCGGGGCCCUCAUGAAGAACCUCUGCUAGGGCAGUGCAGAAGGGAAAGGUGGGGUUGGAGCCCCAACACAGAGUCCCUACUGGGGCACCACCUAGUAGAGCUGUGAGAAGAGGGCCACAGCACUCCAGACCCCAGAAUGGUAGAUCCACCAACAGCUUGCACUGUGUGCCUGGAAAAGCCACAGACACUCAACACCAGCCAGUGAAAGCAGCCUGGAGGAAAGCCGUACCCUGCAAAGCCACAGGAGCGGAGCUGCCCAAGACCGCCUCUUGCAUCAGUGUGACCCUAAUGUGAAACAUGGAGUCAAAGGAGAUCAUUCUGGAACUUUAAGAUUUUACUCUCCUUCUGGAUUUCAGACUUGUGUGGGGCCCGUAGCCCCUUUGUUUUGCCCAAUUUCUCACAUUUGGAAUGGCCAAUGCCUGUACCCCCAACUGUACCUAGAAAGUAACUAACCUGCUUUUGAUUUUACGGGCUCAUUGGUGGAAGGGACUUGCCUUUUCUCAGAUGAGACUUUGGACUGUAGACUUCUGAGUUAAUGCUGAAAUGAGUUAAGACUUUAGGGGACUGUUGGGAAGGCAUGAUUGGUUUUGAAAUGUUAGGACGGGGGUGUGAGAUUUGGGAGGGGCCAGGGGUAGAAUGAUAUGGUUUGACUGUGUCCCCACCCAAAUCUCAUCUUGAGUUCCCACAUAUUGUGGGAGGGACCCAGUGGGAGGUAAUUGAAUCAUGGGGGCAUGUCUUUCCCACGCUGUUCUCAUGAUAGUGAAUAAGUCUCCAGAUCUGAUGGUUUUAAAAAGAAGAGUUCCCCUGCACAAGCUCCCUCUCUCUGCCUGCUACCAUCCAUGUAAGAUGUGACUUGCUCCUCCUUGCCUUCUGCCAUGAUUGGGAGGCUUCCACAGCCACAUGGAACUGUAAAUCCAAUUAAACCUCUUUCUUUUGUAAAUUGCCCAGUCUUGGGUAUGUCUUUAUCAGCAGUGUAAAAAUGGACUAAUACACUAGCCAAGUGACUUAAGAACCUUGGAGGUGAAUCUUUGAGCUCCAGCUGAAUUCAGACUGUUAAAUGACUGCAGGCUCAGUCAACAUCUAAAUGCAACUCUAUAAAAUAGCCUGAACCAUAACCCAAUCAAGCUGCUUUUAAAUUCCUGCAGUUUCCACAGAAACCAUGAGAGAUAAUACAUUAUUGUUGUCAACUUAAGCCAUUACAUUUUGGAGUGACAUGUUGUGAAGCAAUAAUAGCUAAUACACCAUCACAGAUUCUAUUUCCAUUUAUAUGCAUUGGACGUUUUGAGCAUUUCUCACGUCUACUCUAUUUUCUCCAUUAUUUCUUCUCUAUUUACUUCAAUGUGAUUAUUUUCCACUGACCUGUCUUCGAGUUCUCCAUCCCCAUAUUCUGUUUGUUCAAUUGCUAUUAAACCUAUCCAUUUACUUCUUUA